UACGGGAGGCAGCAGUAGGGAAUCUUCCGCAAUGGACGAAAGUCUGACGGAGCAACGCCGCGUGAGUGAUGAAGGCUUUCGGGUCUUAAAACUGUUGUUGUUAGGGAAGAACAAGUACAAGAGUAACUGCUUGUAUCCUGGACGUUACUU
rnacentral:rRNA from 1 species